AAUGAACGCUGGCGGUAUGCUUAACACAUGCAAGUCGAACGAAUUAUUUUAGGGCUUGCUUUAAAAUAGUUAGUGGCAAACGGGUGAGUAACACGUGGGAAUCUACCUAUCAGUACGGAAUAACAUUUGGAAACAAAUGCUAAUACCGUAUACACUCUUCGGAGAAAAGAUUUAUCGCUGAUAGAUGAGCCCGCGCAAGAUUAGGUAGUUGGUAGGGUAAUGGCCUACCAAGCCUACGAUCUUUAGCUGAUUUGAGAGGAUGAUCAGCCACACUGGGACUGAGACACGGCCCAG
rnacentral:rRNA from 1 species